AAAAUAUCAUUUAUACGUUUUCCUCGAGUACAACUCCACUUGAUGGCCACAGUGUCUCAUCGGUGCCUUAGGUAUCUAUUGGGAUAACAACAUCUUGUCCUACUCAACAGAUCUGAUCAUCUGGUUAACCAGUGACUGCUGUGAAAGUGCAGCUGGCAACAAGGGGAAGACCUUGUGACAGCAUGGAAAGACAGCUGACAGGAGGGAAUAGACCUCACCGGGGCCACCAUGUGCUAGCUACCCAUGAUGGCGGGAUCCAGCACGUGUGGUGUAUGGGUUCCACCCAAACUUGGCUACAAAGAAUUCUAAAAGGAAAACACCCCCAGAGCCUGCGAGAGCGUGGGCGGAAGAUGGCUCACUGACUGACAACCCGGUAACAAACACAGGAACGGAACAGACUACAAGAAUGAUGAUCAGCAUAACUGAGGCUCCGAUAGGUACAGCAGAACUGCGUAUGUGGCUGGACAAAGGUUACUACCACACGUUGCCUGCAAAUACAUCAGGGCAAGAGGAAAUGUCUAACUAAGGGUCAACAGGGAAGUCGCAUCGAUCACUACUUCUUGAGAAGCAGACCGAAUCAGUCGACGGAAGUUCUACAGCAGGAUGCACACCACAGUUUGCAGGACAUCAACACCCCAGCCCAUGAGGAGGAGGCACAAAGCACUGCAAAGCAACCUGAAACCAGCACAUCACGCCCCCCAACAGAGAAGAAGAUCUCGGGGAGAAGGUCGUUAGUCAAGUGGCCAAAAUCCUGCGACAAAACAGUGUGGAGGGAGGUCAACACUGAUCUCUGCAACAUCUUACAAGUGGUCAGAGGCACCACCCUGAAGAUGCUGGAAAGAAUGGGUAACCUGAUCUAUGACUAUGGUUCGGAGCGGUUCGGAGUGGUCAAAGGCAAACGAUCUACUCCGACAAUCUCUACCAAGUCCCGAAGGCAGACAGAGAUAGACAGGCUAGUGAAGGAGAGGAGGCAGCUGAAGAAGCAGUGGAGGAAGGCCACGGAGGAGGAAAAGGAUGGAAUAAACGUACUGCAGGAAGAGAUCAAGGGCAGGCUUGUAACUCUGAGAAGAGCAGAGAAUCUCUUGAAGAAGCGCAGAAGGAAAGAUUAAGCAAGAUCGUGCUUCUACAAAGAUCCCUUCAAAUUUGUGAAGAGUCUCUUCACAAAGGAGAAGAGUGGAAGUAUCUCUGUGUCAAACGCUGUCUUAGAAGAACACCUGAAAAGAACUUGCACAGAUGAACGACACCAGGAAAAGGUUACACUCCCAUCCAGGUGGAGUGAAGUAGAAAAAAACUGUGCAUAGAGCAAGGGCUGCUAGGUAGUCCCUGACCUCAGUUUGUCACCCGCAGACUAACGGUCAGACAGAAUGGCUGAACCAGGAGCUGGUGACCGCUCUCCGUUGCCUUACCUCCUCCAAUCCCUCCGACUGGUGUCAAUACCUUCCCUGGGUCGAAUAUGCCCGCAUCUCCCCCUACGAGGCCUCUCUGGGGUAUCAACCACCUCUCCUCCCCGAUGACCACAAAGAGAUAGCAGUACCAUCCGUGGUACUGCUAUCUGUCUACCAUCUGUAGACAGAUCUGGACCCAGACCAUCCGUCUCCUAAACCAAACCGCAGAGCAAAACCGUCGCUUUGCUGACCGGAGAUGUGUUCCUGCUUCUACCUACCACCCCUGUCAAAAAGUCUGGCUAUCCACCUGAGACCUCUCAUCCAGAUCCACCUGUCGGAAGUUAUCACCACGCUUCACUGGCCCCUACGAGUACAUCUCAGUCCUCAGCCCCACAACCAUCCGACUCCGUCUCCCGUCACACUCCAGAGCCCAUCCAACCUUCCACGUGUCGCAAAUCAAGCCUGUCCUUUCGAGACAGUUAUAUCCUCCGGCUGAGCCCCCUCCACCCGUCCUGGACCUCCUGGGACGUCAGGUCCAAAGGAUCGUGGCCUCCCGUCGGCGUGGUAGAGGGUACCAAUAACUGGUCGACUGGAUUCCCAGUUCCUCCUUCGCGGACCGAUACUUAAUUUAAUCUUUCCUCUCCUCCAGUCCUUCCAUGUCUUCUUCGAGGUCGACGGGUGGCGACCGUUGGGGGGGGGGGGGGUGUCAGGACUGGGGCAGAGCCAUGCUGUUUGCUGGCUCUGCCCCAGUGUGCUUUUCUCCGCAGGUGUUUUAAAUUGACUGGUGGGCGGGGCACGCACACCAGGGAUUGGUUCAGAAGCAUCUCGCCGCGCUAUAAGAACUGCGUGCGGACAGCAGGAGGAUGCCAGGAUGUUAUCAGUCGUGGUUUCCUUCCGAGUGCUCACGUUACCUUCCUGAAGGAUCCUGCCCGAGCAACCUCCACACUGAGUCCACCUCUCAAGCUCUCCACUCACCCCGAGUCAGUCUGUACCUCCUGCUGCCCUGGAUCUCUGGAUCGGCGACGCUGCUCGGACCACACUCUGCCUAUGCCCUUCGGUCUCUGGAGAACCUGCUUCCAACAACUAGAGCACGCUGAGUCCCUACCGUCCUCCCCCGGUCCGGUUGCCGCGUCCGGUGUCUUGGUCGUUGUCGUCUCUGAUCAGGCCCACCA